GCGGCUAUGGCGGAAUUGGUAGACGCACCUGGUUUAGGUCCAGACGGGCAACCGUGGGGGUUCGAGUCCCUCUAGCCGCACCA
rnacentral:tRNA from 1 species